AGAAAGUUAUGCAGGAACUGCUAACCCCAUGCCCCGUGUCUAACAACACGGCUUUUUCA
rnacentral:tRNA from 1 species